CUAACCCCCUCUCCCCCGCCUUUCUUCCGCUGCUCUGACACAGCAAGUCUGAAGCCUCAGUCAAGGCCUGCCACAUUGUGAGCAUGUACAAGACAAGGGACUUCAGGGCGGCAGCUAGUGCCAUGGCAGAGAAGCGGCCUUUCCCUGUUCCCAGCCUCCUCGUGAGAAGCCUGGUCCUCCAAGGUCAGCUUCCAGCACCGACAGGCUCAUUUCAGUCUGCAGCCCAUGAAAGAGAGAAAAAAAGUGAAAGUAAACGUGCCCCGUUUGACAGGAUGGAGAGGCAUCCGGGCUCCUGUGGGGAUACCAGAUCUUGUCUGUCACCCAUGGAACAGUCACUAGAAAAGAUAAUGUGAGGAAAAGAAGAAGAAGAAGAAGAAGAAGAAGAAGAAGAAGAAGAAGAAGAAGAAGAAGAAGAAGAAGAAGAAGAAGAAGAAGAAGGAUCUUGCUGGGGUCAACAUGAAGGAAAGAAGAUGAAUUCCUUAAACUUUCUUUUAAAAUUCCACUUUAUUUUUGUGUCUGUGUGUGCAUGUGUUUACAUGUCAUCUUGACACAGGCUGGGGUCACUGAAAGGAGGAAGCCUCGUUUGAGGAAAUACCUCCAUAACAUCCAGCAGUCGGACAUUUCCUUAAUUAACAUUGAUGUGGGAGGAUCCCAGACCAUUGUGGGUAGGGUCAUCCCUGUGCUAGUGGUCCUGGGUUGUAUAGGAAAGCAGGCUGAGAAUGUCUUGAGGAACCAGCCAGUAAACCACACCCCUCUGAGGCCUCUGCAUCAGCUCCUGCCUCCAGGCUCCUGCCCUGUUUGAAUUCUUGUCCUGACUUCCUUCGCUGAUGAACAGUGAUACAGAUGUCUGUGUCAAAUAAACCCUUUCCUUCCCUA